rnacentral:misc_RNA from 1 species
UUGAUAUUAUUCUAGAUCACAGAAUUGCAAUAAAAUACACUCUAAAGUUGGAAGAUGGCUAAUAUGAGUAAGUGAUUACUAGAUAGAACAAAAAAAGCCAAACCAUGUCCUAUGACUGAUGAAAUACAAGAAAUUAAAUCAACAAGACAGAAAAUGCAGAACAACUACGCAUCAGCAAAUCGACGUUUCUCACCAGUUCUUGAACUUGAGGUAAGAAGUGUCUGUGAACCUUAUUUCUGCACAACUACGAUUACACCGAUUAAAAUUACAACAAUCCUCACUUGGAGUCUUCUUCAGUGAACUAGUCGAUGACACGGAGUUCAAUUGGUCAGAAAAGAGAGCGUUAAUAACUCAUUUCCAAGGCAUGCUUGAGAUUCCUUGCAGGUUAUCGUUGGUGCAUACUGGACCCCUCUGAUUUAUGGGGCUGCCUGGUCCACCAGAUGAUUCACUAUAAGUGCCUCGUGAUGGUGGGCUAUUGGCCCCUGUCAAACCACCACCAACACCAAGAUUGGCAUUCAACGGAGCAGGUAAAACCUCAAAAUGGUUUGAUGUUUUUGGCUCUUUCCGACCAUCUGCAAUGAAGCUACCUACGAUAACCUGGACUGGUGAUGCGGCUGUUAGAACACCCGCCACACAACCGCCUAAAAUCCGUCCAUCAGAUCCAGCUAAUGAUACACUUAAUCCACCUGUUCUGCUUUGUUGACCACCAAUGUCAGACAGCAUAAAUGAACCAGAGAGAGACAAAAUCUCAAACCGUCCCUCAUAUGUUGCCGUUCCACCGGACGUGGCAGUUUGUUUAAGAGUCACAUAUGAUAUUGCACCACUGGCAGAUAAGAUGCACACAGCCCUUGGACCAUUCUGAGAAAACGACAUUAUUUUAUAUGCCACAUCCUCUCCUGGUUUCACAGCGAUAAUAUGUGGUGUGAAUCCAAAUCCUGUUGAUCCAAGAUUGUCCAUUUGCUGUUUUUUGCCGGAUCCAGGAGGUCUCCCUCUACCUUUCUUCGACGAAUUUGGCGAACCUGGUCCUCCAGAAUGCAUCUGAGCACCAGCAGAAUUACCCGGAUCUCGGGGCGACAAGCUACCGCCAAGAGAACCACCACCAACCGGCGAAGCAGCCGGAUUCAAUCCCAAUGCCAUAGACCCAUCCGGACCGUAUUUCCUAGGCCUCCCUCUCUUCCGUUUCAUCGGCUCCGACGAAUUAUUGUUCAAGUUCUGCAACAUCGAUGUCCCAGCUCCGGCAGAACCUUCAGCCGACUGGUACGGUGGCGGGGCAAACACAGCCGUAUUUUCAUCUCUGUAACCCAAAUGCAUAUUCUGAACCACCGGCGUCGUUGCCGGAACAUUCGACGGAGAAUUUUGAACUCCGGCAACACUGAAAUGAUCUCUACUCGUCAUUACUCCACUACCUGCCUCAGUUACCGACAUUUUUCAUCGAUUUUUCCCCCCAAAUUCACCGUAAAUUGG